rnacentral:misc_RNA from 1 species
AAAAAAUCUCUUAAGAAUUUAUUUAAGAGCCAGCUCAUAAGAUGUAAAACCACUAAGAAAACCCAAAUGACUAGUCUAUAAAAUUAAUAAAUCCAUUGCAAUGGAGAGUCAACAUGUAAAUAGCCUCCAAAUUGAUGCCCUACAUAUUUUUCAUAAUCAAAAUUUUGCCGAGACAUAAAAUUUGCCAUUGUUUCACAAUUACACCCUCUCAGAAAAGAAAACAGAUGCAUUACACAACUAAAGUAGCAGUCAAAAUAGAAUGCUUAAGAGAUCUACAAAAAAGUUGAGAAAUAAAUUAGGAACAUAAUUUUUAAUUCCUUUUGUUGGAUAUGCUAUCAAUCACGCAUCCAAUCACUGGGAAUGAAAGUUGCUUUAACUUGAUCUCAAGGACUGGCUGUAUUGGUUGAAUGAAUGACUUCGAUGACAACUAAAAUGGUGAAAAAGUUAACAUGAUGCAAGCUGUUCCAAGCCAAAAUGAUUGGAAGCUUCACUUUUAAAUAAAAUAAAGAUUGGAGCGAGUGCAUUCAAAGCCCUUGCUCAUUUGGUGUUGUUAGACAACCAUUGGACCUAACAUUCCAAAAACAUCGGUGGUGCCUAUUUAGUCAGUUGUUCUAUAUGGUUAGAUUCACUAGUGAUAUAAUUUGCAGUUUUCAUCCAUGCUUCACAUAUCACUUAGGUCAAAUUUUAUUUGCAGG